UCAUGCAUUGUGAUGGGACCAAUAUGAUUAUGAUGAAAUAUUUAUUUGUGUGGGUGGGAUGCAUUUUAUCAGCUAUCUAAUACUGAGCUUAUGUUAGUUACUUGCAGUUACUUGCACAUGUUUGGUAGGUACGUACCUACCUACAUUUUAUGCUUGUGCUACUUGCUGGCAACCAUUCAUUUUUUGUGCAAGGUAUUUCAGUGUUACCACAACUUGUCACCCAUUUAAGAUAUUUUGCACCUGGUUGAGGGGGACAUGGAAGUGCAAGUGAUACAUGCUAUUCAAAUCCAAAGUCUUCAGUGUUGGAAUUUGACCAUUUUCUGCUGAAUAAUUUUGCUCUCCAACCAAAUAUUCGCCUUUCAAUAAAUUAUUCACAAUGAAUGAUUAAGUUUUUUUUUGUGAUUUACCUUCUCCUUGAUUUCAAUGUAAGUUUUUGUACACAAUCUUAGCAUAAAGAAAUCACAGUUAAUAUUUUUCCUAGAUGGAUAAGGCCAUUUUUGAAAAGCAUGCUCUGCACGUCUUUUAUCAACAAUUUGAAAAAUAAAGAAGCAGAGGCGUAGGAACAUCACAAAAGUUGGGGGGGGGGGGGCGAACAGUUUCAGCGAAACUUUGGGUCUUAUUUUAAGGUGAACCCAAGUUCAACCCACCCACCCAACACGCACACCAACUUUCUCUGCAUUUUUGGACUCAUCUCAACCUGAGGAAUCAAUCACUGCAUUUGGUUUUGAAGAAAUGUAAAUUUUAGGAAAUUUUUGGGCUAAAUGUUAGGGGCCAUUGCUGCUCUGCCCUCCCUGUUCCUAUGCCUAUGUAAGGGACUGGGAGUAAUGAUUUGUGUUCACGAAAGUAGCCCAAUGGUCUUGGCCGGUGGCCCUGUUCAGUAAGAUGCAUAAUAAUAGCGGCUAAGUGAAUAUCAAGUAAAACUGAAAUAGCAUAAUGUUUCAAACGGGUAUGCUUGGGGCAACAUAUAUAGUGAUAUUCAACGAACCCCGACUGGACUGGGCUCAGUUUAUAGACUCGACUCGACUGGGCUGGGCUGUGAGUUGGCGGACAGUGACAAACGCUUCUCACUGUCUCAGUGUACACUACCUCGGAUAAAAAGAUCAAUUUUUUUUAGUAGUCAACGCCAAAGCUAGCAGAUGACUGUCCACUAGGUAGCUAUUCGUGAAGUUCCCAUCUUCUUCUUUGUGGGUUAAGGCGCAUAGCCAUCAGGCGUGAAGUUCCCAGAGUAUAUAGAGCUCCAACGUUCCUACGCCUUUGCAUUAAUUUGCAAUAAACAUUCGUCUGUCUUUGAACCUGGCAUGAAAGUUCAAAUAUUCACUCAAAGACACAGUAGUCUUUGAACCCGGCAUGGAAGUUGAAAGAUUCACUCACAGACACAGUAGGAACUUAUAACUCACGCACCUAAAAUUGAAAUGAAUGCAACUGAAAUAAGCAGAUUUUCUGUGAAAAUGUUUGUUACUCACAACCAGACCAGGCGAAUUUACAAUUGGCUCAGAAUGUUUUUGCACUUAUUGGUUUCAGAUGAAUGUGAAGCUAUCAUGUUCUUUGUGUCACCACACUGACACAGACUUGAGAGAGUUUUGCCUGCAUUUGCGACGACAUGGAUCAGACCCUUAUUUUCACGUGGAUUGCCCGAUGUGUCGCAAGAAGUUCACCACUGUUCGGUAUUGGAAAGAUCAUGUUUUGUCUAGAAAGUGUUCUCCGGUUGAAGCUGCUGGUUGUGCUUCAAAUGCUCCAGAGACAUCUUCGUCUCAAAAUCAACAAGAAACUGGUGUCGAGAUUGAUUCUGACUCUGGUGACAAGGUUGAAGACGACCCUGGUGCUCACGAUGUGAGAAAACAACUGUUAGGACUCAUAAUCAAACUCCGCGCCCAAAAUGUGACCGAAAAUAGCUGCCAUGCUGUGCUGGAGUUCAUUGAGGACUUUUCGAAAGAAGUCAUCCAAGAGUGUCUGAGCUUAUGUGGGGAGGCACCAUGCUGCCAUCUUGAAGAAUAUUAUCAUAAACUCAAGACUCUGAAUGAGCUGAGCAAGUUACAGGGUAGCGACCACCUAGAACGCACAGCUGUCAAGGAGUUUGAAACGGUUGAUCCUGUAUCUGUGACAUUGGGCACAGACGAACAUGGGAAAGAUGAAACGCUCCAAUACUUGCCAGUUACACCUCAGCUUAAACAACUCUGCGAGCAAGUGAAUGCUUGCGAAGAUGCAACUGCAUCACCAGAUGGGAUACUUGGUGGCCUUCAGGAUGGAUACGUCCAUAACAAUAAUAACAGCGAAGGUCGUUUGCUUCUUUCAGUCUACUAUGACAGUUUUCAAGUAGGCAACCCCUUGGGCAGCAGAGCAAAGAACCAGAAAGUGGGCGUUGUUUAUUUUUCAGUGAACAGUCUUAAGAACAGCGCACUUCGCAACAAAAUCAUCCUUUCGGUAGUCUUUCGAGAGGCACUGCUGGCAACACAUUCAUGGGCAACACUGCUCGACCCACUCAUCACCGAACUUAAAGAGCUUGAAUCAAGCGGUUUUGUGGCAAACAUUCGUGGUGGCUCGCAUUUUACUGCACACGUUGCAGUGUUGAUCGGUGACAAUCUGGGCGUACACAGUGUGGCGGGCUUUUCACAGUGCUUCAGUGGGGGUGCAAUGAUUUGCCGACACUGUCAUGGAACGGCAGAUGAGAUACGAACAAAGACGAAGCUGGAAGAGUUUGACCUCCGUUCCAAAGAAGAUUAUGACUCCAAAGUGAAGCUUUUGCUUGAAGAAGGUUUCGGUGAAUCACUCUCGAAAGCGUACGGCAUCCGAAGCACGUGUCCGUUCAGCUCAUUGACGGGCUUUCACCCGAUGACGUCGAUACCCCCUGAUGUGAUGCAUGAUCUUCUAGAGGGCGUUGUGCCGUCCACCAUUGCUCUGGUGUGCGGUGGUUUGAGCUCUCGCGGUGAUUUGUCUCUGAACGAUGUGAACAGAGCUAUCAGGUCAUUCCCAUACAGUCAGGUGGACACAAAUCAUCCCGCCCCGUUACGCCGUGAUGGAAAGGGUAUAACUGUGAAGCAGCAGGCGAGUGAGGCUUGGUGUCUUCUGAGGCUUUUGCCAUUGAUUCUCCUGAGUGCAGGUGUUCUCUCAUCGGCUGUGUCUGGGAGCAAGAUGUACUCCCUGCUCGUGCAGUUAAUCAAAAUCAUGCUCCUACUCACUGUCUUCACGGUGUCACUGCAAGACUUGGAUAUCCUGCAAGGGAUGGUGGAAAAGUUUUUGACAGACCUUCUCGCAUGCUUUCCGGAGUUCAAACUGACGCCGAAGCAUCAUUUCCUCUUACACUAUGCCGAUCAAACGAGGAGACAUGGCCCAUUGAGGUAUCUAUGGAGCAUGAGAUACGAAGCCAAACAUCAAACCUUGAAGCGGUCUGUGGCAAACUCGCGCAAUCGUAAAAAUAUAUGCAAGAGCAUCGCAACUCGUUAUCAGCUGAAGAGUGUCGCAGAUGCAAUGGAACUACGCGGUCGUAUGAGCGGCGGGCAAGCUUUCAGGGGAGAGGUUCCGGAAGCGGCUGCUGCAUUGACGAGAGGGGCACAGCUUUUCAAAAAGGCGCUAAUAAACGGCGAGAAGUACUGCGCGGGUGAAGCUCUGCUGCUGCACACUGGUGUCGCUGUGAUUAUCUGCAUUUGCAAACAUCCAAGCAGCGUUGAGUCGGACAAACAAUUCCUGGUGCAGCACCAGGUGGCCAUUUAUGACACAUCCUUGGGAGCUUUUAUCAUUUCUGGAACAGAUCAAUAUGAUGUAUUCGACUGUGCGAGUCUCGUUGAUCCCCAGCCCCUCGGCACGUACUGGAUCAAUGACCACCACUAUGCCGUUCCUCGGAGGCUGAUACCCGGCUACGGGAUGCUGUAGAACGAUAGGACCACGAUCGCCAUGCUGACCUACGUGGUGCAGCAACACGACAUCAACCGACUUGUGACUGUGAAGAAUAAGGGUGAUGUUUUGGCGGCCGCAAAAGAGGCGUUUUCUCUGUCUGGCAGUUAUUGCUUAGAGCUUUACCACAAGGAGUCCGAAUUGUAUGUUCGCAUCGAUAACCCAGUAGACGACCUACCAUGUGGCGGACGGAUUCGCCUUGUCCCCGUCCAAGUCUCCAGCCCACCAGUGUCAUUCAUCCAAAGAUGUCUCAGCACGGCCGACACCAUCCCCGUCCUGACGAUGACAGCUUCUCCUGGCGCCUUGGGAACUCCCUCCUGUUCCAAGGAUUCAGCAGUGAUCGAUGACCUUUUGGUGCCAUGCUCUUCCUCUGUGAGUUCUGCCGUCGGCGAAACGGCACAGGACCCGCUUGCUCUCACCGACGGCGGGACCAGUGACAACGAGUCCAGCAAGGACGCCGGGACCAGUGCGAG
rnacentral:misc_RNA from 1 species